rnacentral:rRNA from 1 species
AUUUAUGACCAUACCUCCCUAACCAACCCUGAUCUCAUCUGAUCUUGGAAGCUAAGCAAGGUUGGGCCUGGUUAGUACUAGAGUGCGAGGCUAUCUGGUAAUACCAGAUGCUGUAGGCU